GAAUCAUGUUGUUUAUAGUUCUUAUAGCUCUCUCUUGAAGGUGAAACCGUGUAUAGGGGGCGGUAGAGUCCACAUAUGGACAAAGAUCUGCAGAAGAUCAAUGAGGAAGUAGAAAACUCAUUAUAGGCCCUUUGGGGGCCUUGCUUGAAUGGAGGUCGUUUGUAAAGGAAACUUCAGGUUGCCCACAAACAUUUGGUUUUUGCUGCGUGUUAGUGUUUGUAAAGUAGUCCAGCUGAUCAAAGUAGGCAUAAAAACACGAGACGGUUAUCUAUUAUUUUCAUCCCAUGUAAUCCUGGUCACCAAACCAGGAUAUGAAAUAGGAAAUGUGGCACACACGCGGUUUUCGGAAACAGCCGAGGUUGUCAAAACACCAGCACAAAGUCUACCUUCAUGAACCCCACCACCACCACCACCCACCGGGCCCGGGCGUCGCGGCAGACAAUGACCUGUGUUUCCCCGGCACAAAGUGCUCUCUGUGUCCGCCGGAGCUCCCCUGCUUUAAUGGAGGUGAUUGGCCGUGUUCUGCACAGCACGUCCGCCGCUGCGUGUGUGAUUAAUCACCGCGUUAAACGCCGAAGCUCAGCGCCCCCGAGGCGGAGAGGAGAGAGGGCGGCAGGCCAACAGGGACCCCGGGCAGCCACGACGCUCCGGGUCAGCAUCCGUCGGUAGCAAAAUGAAAGAGUGGAGAAAAGUCAUCAUCCGUCACAUCUGGUCUACAUUAAGGCAGAGCCAGGCCUGAUGGCUCCUGCUGCCGGAGUGUCUGAGGCUUUGACGGCGGCUCUGUGUCGUGUGGCGUUGGCGUGCGAACUGUGCCAGGCGGCGUGUGUGGUCAACAGGCGACUGGGAAGCUGCGGGGGAGCGAGGGAGCUGCGGGUCCAGGCAGAAGCCCCUUUGGUUCAACUGAGCUCCUCAUCUUAAUACCUGUGCUGGAAUCGAGCUGAGCAGGCUGAGCCUUAACACCGACUAGCUGCCUUUUGAAGAUGAGAGGAAGUGGCCCGUCAUGAGGCAGGAGGGAGUGUGUGAGGCCCAGUUAAAAUGCCUUUUGUGAUAAUGGCUCUCAUUAUCAGCUCAGGAGCAUCUGAAGAGUGUGGCAUUUUACAGCUUACAGUAACCCACUUCAGACACUGCAGCACCAGGAUGCUGUCUCAACACACACUGUACACACACACACACACACACAGAGAGGCUGGUGCUGCCAUCAAAACAAAGCCUGGCACAGCUGGGUGGAUGAGGGGGCGUGGCUGGCUUUUACCACAUGUGAGGCUGGGAUUUAGCUUGUUUGGUGUUUCUCCUAUCUGAAAGGAGCAGCUCAUUUAUUGGGGGUUGGGAGGAGUCCAAAUAGGAAGAAAGCACAAUCUUUGUGUGUGUGAAUAAAUAAUAAAUACAAAUAUUGACAUUAAUAAUUGAAGAUAUUAGUCUUAUUUCUAUCUCCCUGCCACUGCCUUGUAUCUGUACACCUGAUUUUUGAAGCGGUGGGUGUCCCUUGUUCCCAUGCAUGACGGAUAAACCCACAUUGUAGCCUUUAAAGUCUGUGUCGCUUUGAUGACAAAGUAAAGAACGCGUGGAUAACACAGGAGGACGCGUCUUAACGCUGCGAGCGGCGGAAGCGCAUUGGAGCGGUACUGUGCGCAGGGUGGUGGGGCGGCGGGCGAUCGGAUCACCGCCCUUUUUUUUUUUUUUCUUUUUUUUUUUUUUUUUUAAGCCUCGGAGCUGGAGCGGCGCCAGGGAGACAGCUGUCGAGAUGGAGCGCUUGUUCAAAGCUGUCACCCCCCGAAAAGAAGCAGCCAGGGCCCUCCUCCGUCCUCUUUUCUUCGCCGUGGAGGAGGUGUUUGGCAAGGCCGGCUGAGUCUGCCCUCUGUGCCAAGCUGGGGGCCUUUGUACUACUGUUUCACAGCGAAAACACGCUGAUAAGGACUCGUGAGUGUUUGUUUAGGGAACUCGUGGGCAGUCAUAAAAGGCAGAGAUGAAGUCUUAGAGCGAUUAAAUACACACAGCGCUCAUUUCCGAAUCUAAACACAACAACUUCCUAUUUCAUUUCUCUUAGGAGGAUGGGAAACAGGACUCUGCCAAUCUGCUAUCCUUCUUUGUGCCAUUAUAGUGCAACUCCUGUUCUCUUUCCGGGGGCUAAUUUUUAGUGCCGAGCUGAACUCACACUGCAGUUUGUACAGACUGUCUAAAGUAAGUGCCAGUUUCUCACCCACUGUGCGCAAAUUGUCCAUUAAUCCAUGCGUAAUGAAAGCUUUCACGGCGCCGUGAACCAGACACUUUAUCAGCUCGUCGCGUUAUUGAACACCUUUUCAUCCCCCCUCCUCCUACAACCUGGUACUAGUGCAGUUAGUGUGUGUAUGUGUGUGUGUGUGGUAUCUUUUUGUUUGGCUCAGAUGUCAACUGAGUUCAGUAAGGCACACAAUUCCCCAUUUUACUGCCAUCUGCCGGAUGAAGAGCCUUCUGAUUACAUAAACCUCGUUCACUGUGUCACUACUAUACACUGUGUGUGUGUGUGUGUGUGUGUGUGUGUGUGUGUGUGUGUGUGUGUGUGUGUGUGUGUGUGUGUGUGUGUGUGGGUGGGUGGGUGGGUGUGUGUGUGUGUGUAUCUGUGUGUCUGUGUGUGUGUGGAAUGUAACGAGGUAAUCCGAUUCUGGGCCAGUCAUAUGAACAAGCUCCAGUCACACCAAUUAGGUAGGCGACUGGGCUUAUAACAACAAUGAUAAUAAUAAUGAUAGUGUGAUUUUUCAGUGUCGGAGGUUUUCUUUUCAUCAGAUUUUCUUUAAAUAAAAACAGAAACAAAGGCUUUUAGCGCUUCAGCUUCAGAUUCAGA